CAAAUAAACGAAAAGAAUAAAAGAGGAGAAACUGAGGAGAAGCCAUAAACAGAUAAUAGAGGAGAAACUGAACAAAGCGAAGACAGAGACAAAAACUGAGCAAACCUGAAGAGAGUUCCAGUCAAAGGAAAUGUCGCCGACGCCGAUUGGGGAGAGGCAAGGGUUGUCUCCAGUGAAGUGGGGGAAGAGAGGCGUUGACUGGAAAUUAUGGGAAGGGAAUCGGGGGAGAGAGGUGCCGACGGAGAGAGGGAAGUGUGACUCUAGCAAAAUGGAAAAAUAAAUGAGGGGAUUAGGGUUAGUUUUGUUAGAAUAGCUAAUUAGGGAUUAGGGAUUAAGAAUUAGGGAUUAGGGUUAGUUUUGUUAGGGAUUAGGGAUUAAAGAUUAGGAAUUAGGGAUUAGAGAUUAAAAUUAGGGAUUAGGGUUAGGGAUUAGGAAUU
rnacentral:lncRNA from 1 species